AUGUAAAUCACUUUUUAAAAAGC
rnacentral:snRNA from 1 species